AUUGAACGCUGGCGGCAGGCCUAACACAUGCAAGUCGAACGAGUGGCGGACGGGUGAGUAAUGUCUGGGAAACUGCCUGAUGGAGGGGGAUAACUACUGGAAACGGUAGCUAAUACCGCAUACCAUCGGAUGUGCCCAGAUGGGAUUGGCUAGUAGGUGGAGUAAAGGCUCACCUAGGCGACGACCCCUAGCUGGUCUGAGAGGAUGACCAGACACACUGGAACUGAGACACGGUCCAGGAUCCUACGGGAGGCAGCAGUGGGGAAUAUGGCACAAUGGGAGCAAGCAUGAUGCAGCCAUGCCGCGUGUAUGAAGAAAGCCUUCGGGGUGUAAAGUACGUUCAGCGGGGAGGCGUUACCCGCAGAAAAAGCCACGGCUAACUCCGUGCCAGCAGCCGCGGUAAUUC
rnacentral:rRNA from 1 species